rnacentral:rRNA from 1 species
ACGCUCGACACCUACGGAGGCAGCAGUGGGGAAUAUUGCACAAUGGGGGAAACCCUGAUGCAGCGACGCCGCGUGGAGGAAGAAGGUCUUCGGAUUGUAAACUCCUGUUGUUGGGGAAAAAGAGGAUGGUACCCAACAAGGAAGUGACGGCUAACUACGUCNCGNANCGCGUAGUAUGAGCGGCGUGNGAG